rnacentral:rRNA from 1 species
AACGAACGCUGGCGGCAUGCCUAACACAUGCAAGUCGAACGAGACCUUCGGGCCUAGUGGCGCAAGGGUGCGUAACGCGUGGGAACCUGCCCUUAGGUUCGGAAUAACUCCCCGAAAGGGGUGCUAAUACCGGAUAAUGUCUUCGGACCAAAGAUUUAUCGCCUUUGGAUGGGCCCGCGUUGGAUUAGCUAGUUGGUAGGGUAAAAGCCUACCAAGGCGACGAUCCAUAGCUGGUCUGAGAGGAUGAUCAGCCACACUGGGACUGAGACACGGCCCAGACUCCUACGGGAGGCAGCAGUGGGGAAUAUUGGACAAUGGGCGAAAGCCUGAUCCAGCAAUGCCGCGUGAGUGAUGAAGGCCUUAGGGUUGUAAAGCUCUUUUACCCGGGAUGAUAAUGACAGUACCGGGAGAAUAAGCUCCGGCUAACUCCGUG